ensembl:lncRNA
AUAAAACAUUUUCAGAGACCCUGAAAAGCAGCCCACCUGUGUUUUAAUUGCUCCUCUAUGAGGAGUGUGGAUACAGCUGGAAGGUGAUCUGCAGAAGUCUCCUGGAAGUACUUCACAGUUUUAUUUGCCAAGGCCAUCCCAAACUUACUCAGAUUUGCAACCACUUGAACAGAAGAGGCAGAUGUAGCCACUGAGAUAAAUUUCACUGAAAUGCCACUGCAGUCCUCUGCCUGCACAGAAGCUCAUUUAGCACUGUAUACGGAGUUUGUGAAAAGCUCUGUAUGAGAACCUCUUAGGUGUCUUUUUUUUUUUUUACUGCUAACAGUAUUGUUGUGCACUACAGAGAGAACAGGAGAUUUACCGCUAACAGUUCUUCUUUAUCAUGUCCAUUUUCCAAAUAUCACAAGUAAAUUAUUCAGCAGAAAAAAAAAUCCUGUAAUGAAAGGUCAUAAUCAGAAAUCAUAUGAGGAUAAGGAAGGUCUUCCAGAGCUGCUAUUGCAAACACAGACCUGAACUGUGAUACAUGGCUAAGGGGGAAAAAAAAAAAAAAGAACAGGAAAGAGAUAUGGAAAGAGAAGAAAGGGAAAAGGGAAAGGAAAAAGAGGCAUAAAUGAGAAGAGAAUGGAAGGACAUGAACUUCUGCUAGCCACAGUGCAUGACAACUAAAGGAUCCGAGUUGCACAAACUUCUUCCGACUCCUGAGGGAGUAGAUAUUUUGAUGUCAGUGAGAAAGCUCCUGCAAGGUUUUAGGGUCUCCCCUCUCCAGAGAGGAGAAAGGGGCAGCAAGGUGAGUUGAAAAUACUCUCGCAAGCGUCGGUACCUGCUGUGAAGGAGCACUGUCAGGACAGUCCAGAUGCAGAUGGCCAUGAGUGUGUCAGCUGGCAGCCAGCUCACCAAGCAGAUUUAGCCAGUUACUGGAAUCCCUGUUUAGAUGCUGGAUUUGCUGCCUCUGUCUUGUGUGCUGCAUAGCCAAGACACAUCAGGUCACCCCCAGGCUGCAGGUAGCAGGGGAAGCAGAGAAGGAGGAGAGGCUUUGCCAGCCAGGCAGUCUAGCUGGCAGUUGGUCUGCCUUUGGCAGCUCUUCAGUGCUCUUUCUAGGUGAACUGAACACAGCUAAACAUCAAAGCAGCUUCCAAUUCUGUUCUGAUGGUGUCUUGCAUCCAGUUCAAGGUGAACAGUUUUGUAUCGGUAUGUUCCACAUAGAAAUCCCAGAGGGUACAUGGAUUGCCACCUACAUCAAAGAGUUGCAGAAGCCAGUGCUGAUUCCAGGUGCUUCCAGGUUUUGCUUGAUGAUGAAAGAGGAUGAGGAAGAAGGAAGGAUUCUAAAACAGAUUCUUGAGCUGCAGAAUCGUACCUUUGCUGGCAACAGGCCUCGCUCUUCUUGCCAGGGUCAAUGGUAUCAGUUGCCUGUUUGAGUGCUACAACGGGCAGUCUGUUCCAAGAGGUAAACCAAUUAGUCUUGGGCCAGAUACAUCUUCUGCAGCAUUUCUGUGGUCUUGAUCAGGAGCUCAGUGCCAGAAGUAGGAAUUGGAUAGAGAAAGCCAUGGUUUCUUCGGCCAGGUAGCGUAUCUGGGUUUGCACUACACGGCACCCCUUAGGGCUUGGGAUCUCCUUCACGUGAAAAUAGUUACCUGUGAUCCCAGUCUCAAUUCUGAGAGGAGCUACUGUCAUAGC